CAGACCCCAGACUACUGUCACUAUAGGACUAGGUUAACAGACCCCUGAUCACUAUAGGACUAGGUUAACAGACCCCUGAUCACUGUAGGACUAGGUUAACAGAUCCCUGACUACUGUCAUUAUAGGACUAGGCCCUCCUUGAUUUCCCUUGGGCCCCUGGGACCAGUGGAGCCUCACUACAGUGUAGUGUAGUCAUACUAUGGCCCAUGCUGAGAGAACAGGACAUUGCUGUCCUCCAGCAGUCGCUACCAGAGUGUAACGGGUUAGACAGGCCGGAAUGGGUUUACACAGCUGGACCUGAACCAUUUCUGUCCGAUCCAUAUGAACACCAUACCUGAGGAACGCCAUACACCAUACCGGAGGAACACCAUACCUGAGGAACGCCAUACACCAUACCGGAGGAACGCCAUGUAAGCUCACACACACUAGGUUACAGAUGGUGUGUAGCUUGUUUAAGGUUUAUGAGCUGUGUAUAUGUGC
ensembl:lncRNA